GCCACAAGGAGCCACAUGUGCCUGGGACCAGAGCGAGGAGGGCCGAGGUGCUGGGGCCAGCCUUCCGUCGCCCCAGCCCUUGCCUCCACCACGGCCCCAUCGGUGUUCCCACUGGCCCCCAGCUGCGGGACCACAUCUGGCGCCACCGUGGCCCUGGCCUGCCUGGUGUUGGGCUACUUCCCUGAGCCGGUGACCGUGUCCUGGAACUCCGGCGCCCUGACCAGCGGUGUGCACACCUUCCCGGCCGUCCUGCAGGCCUCGGGGCUGUACUCUCUCAGCAGCAUGGUGACAGUGCCCUCCAGCAGGUGGCUCAGUGAGACCUUCACCUGCAACGUGGCCCACCCGCCCAGCAACACCAAGGUGGACAAGACCGUACCCAAAACAGCGUCCACAAUAGAGCCCAAAUCCCGGGAAGGUCCCAAAUGCCCAGUUCCUGAGAUUCCUGGAGCACCGUCCGUCUUCAUCUUCCCCCCAAAACCCAAGGACACCCUCUCGAUUUCCCGGACGCCCGAGGUCACAUGCUUGGUGGUGGACUUGGGCCCAGAUGACUCCGAUGUCCAGAUCACAUGGUUUGUGGAUAACACCGAGAUGCACACAGCCAAGACGAGGCCGCGUGAGGAGCAGUUCAACAGCACCUACCGUGUGGUCAGUGUCCUCCCCAUCCUACACCAGGACUGGCUCAAGGGGAAGGAGUUCAAGUGCAAGGUCAACAGCAAAGCCCUCCCCUCUGCCAUCGAGAGGACCAUCUCCAAGGCCAAAGGACAGCCCCACGAGCCCCAGGUGUACGUCCUGCCUCCAACCCAGGAGGAGCUCAGCAGGAACAAAGUCAGUGUGACCUGCCUGAUUGAAAACUUCUACCCGCCUGACAUUGCCGUCGAGUGGGAGAUCACCGGACAGGCAGAGCCAGAGAACAACUACCAGACGACCCCGCCCCAGCUGGACAGCGACGGGACCUACUUCGUGUACAGCAGGCUCUCGGUGGACAAGUCCCGCUGGCAGAGUGGAAACACCUACACCUGCUCGGUGUCACACGAAGCUCUGCACAGCCACCACACACAGAAAUCCCUCACCCAGUCUCCGGAGCUGCUCCUGGACGACAGCUGUGCGGAGGACCAGGACGGGGAGCUGGAUGGGCUGUGGACCACCAUCUCCAUCUUCAUCACGCUCUUCCUGCUCAGCGUGUGCUACAGCGCCACUGUCACCCUCUUCAAGGUGAAGUGGAUCUUCUCCUCGGUGGUGGAGCUGAAGCGCACGAUCGUCCCCGACUACAGGAACAUGAUCGGGCAGGGGGCCUAGGGCCAGCCCUCCUGGGCGGAUGUCAGCGUUGCCCCGACCCUGCACAGGAUCCCGGUGCAUCAGCCUGCUGCCAGGCCUGCUCUCCCGCCCUCUGACCUCGCC